ensembl:misc_RNA Metazoa_SRP Metazoan signal recognition particle RNA
GCCGGGUGCGGUGGCGCGCGCCUGUAAUCCAAGUUACCGGGAGGCUGAGGCUGGCGGAUCGUUUGAGCUCAGGAGUUCUGAGCUGCAGCGGACUAUGCCGAUCGGGUGUCCGCACUAAGUUCGGUAUCGAUAUGGUGCUUCUGGGGAAGCCCGGGACCACCAGGUCGUCUAAGGAGGGGUGCACCGGCCCAGGCCGGAGACGGAGCAGGCCAAAGUCCCCGUACCGCUCAGUAGUGGGAUCGCGCCUGUGAAUAGACGCUGUAGAUGCAGCCUGAGUAAUACAGCGGGACCCAGUCUUUU